UACAGAGGUCUCGAGCGUUAGGCGGAAUCACUGGGCUUAAAGCGUGUGUAGGCGGCUCGGUAAGUCCGCUCUGAAAGUCCAGGGCUCAACCCUGGGAUGCGGGUGGAUACUGCCGGGCUCGAGUCCGGAAGAGGCGAGUGGAAUUCCCGGUGUAGCGGUGAAAUGCGUAGAGAUCGGGCGGAACACCAGCGGCGAAGGCGGCAUCCUGGCCCUGACCUGACGCUGAGGCGCGAGAGCGUGGGGAGCAAACUGG
rnacentral:rRNA from 1 species